UUUCACAUUGUUUCUUCUUCUCUCUUCUUCUGGUUCUUUCGGAAGAAUCAAUCCUUCAGACGACUGGGUUUUGAUUUUGGUUUGAUUCAGUCACGAAACUAGUACAAUCGAUUUGGGCAUCUUCUUCCUCGUGGUGAUUUGGUUAGGUUUCUUUCCUCUCUUAUCAUCCUCUUCGUGUUUUCUUGUUUAGGGUUCUGAAUUUACUAAUCGUUCUUGUGAUUACAGAUCUAGGGUUUUUAUUCUGUUUGGUUUUAAAUUCGGCAAGAAACUAUUUUAAUCGGCGGCUUGGUUUCUUCUUCUUCUUCUUCUUCUUUCUCCUCCUAGUCCUGGUUGUGAUUGAUUUAGUUUUUCUUCAUCCUCUCUUCGUGUUUCUUCCUUUUGAUUCUCCUGUUCUGUACUUAAAACUUUUGUUGUAGGGAUAUUUGUUUUUGUUUUGUUGUAUGUUUUCAAAGAUAUGAGGAUUGAAAUCGAAUGGGUACAAACAAUUGAUCAGUUCGAUCAGA